GAGGGGAUUGAAUUUGGGGUAAGCAAAUAGUAACUAACAACUACUGCCAUUCCAGGGUUUGUUGUGCUUGGCAAGUGGUGAGUUACACACAUGUUUUCAAUGAGGCCCUAAAAUGUCCAGACAGAGCAUGAUGGAAGUCGGAGCACUUAUCCUGAAACGAUUAGCCCUUUUGGGAUGUUAUAUGUGACCAAGAAAGCUUCGUGGGAAUGGAGAUAAGCAUAACAAGCAAAUAACGAUUUGGUUACAUUUCUUCUUCGCCUCACUCUGUGAAACAGAGAAAGAGAGAGAGAGAAGAUUCAGAAUAAGGUCUUUGAUACGAUUCUAGCCAUUCUUACAGUGGAAUUACAGCUCUCACUUUCCUCAGUAAUGUUUAUGAACUCCGAGGACAAUGGUCUUCACCGUGUUUCAGAUCUGAUAUCGUGGCUGUAACCUCGUAGGAAGCAUCCCAGAAAAGAACGUGACUCCCUAUUACUGUGUUGGGACAGGCUGUAUCAUUUAGCGCCUUAGUCACGGGUGAGUUUCCAUGUCACAGACGUGUCCAGUGAUGUCUUUGACUUCCGUGAGACUUUGACGAUUCACUUCCACAAGAAUCACGAUGCAUCAGCUGAAUUCCCAGGACUGUGCUUGGCCCCGAGAACAUAGAGCGGAAUGACACACUGCUUCUGUCCUCAAGCAGUUUAUAAUCCAGUGGUGAGAGACUGCCGAUGCGGCUGACUUGCGUGGCAUUGCCAACACCAUCUGCUCCAGAGCAGAAUUACUACUUAAUAGGCAAAAGCAGCUGCCGGCUGAGGCUCAACACACUCUUUCAGUUCCCUCCAGGAUGACCUGGU
rnacentral:lncRNA from 1 species